CUUUCACAGCCACUCACACAGCAGCAGCAGCACAAUGAUGAUGUCACUGACUCUCCUGCUGGCCACCCUGGGGCUCCUUGUUCAGGGUUCAUCAGGAGAAAUCAUCCUGACUCAGACUCCUGAAGCUCAGUCUGUUGUUCCAGGACAGACUGUCUCUAUCAGGUGUAAAUCCAGCACACUGAUAGGUGAUGACAUAGACUGGUACCUUCAGAAAUCUGGAGAAGCUCCUAAACUUCUGAUCUAUGAUACUACAAUCCGUCAGUCUGGAGUUCCAGAUCGUUUCAGGGCAACAGCAGUUCAGACCGACUUCACUCUGAUCAUCAGUGGAGUUCAGGCUGAAGAUGCAGGAGUUUAUUACUGUCAGCAGCACAACAGCUACCCGUUCACACAGUGAAAACCCGUCGUACAAAAACCUCAGACAGCUGGAGAGGAACUGAUCUGACAGCUGCAGUCACACAAAAAGCAUCAAGUUAUAAUCUGUUUAUUUCUAAAUGCAUACAAAUAUUUUUUCUACAUUUAAUGAUACUCAUUCUAUUGUUUUAUUGAUUGUUUUACAUAUUUUUAAAAAUAUAAGACUUUUAACUUGAUUUAAAAGCAAAAACUAUCCGUCUGAAAUUAGAGU